rnacentral:misc_RNA from 1 species
AACCUUAUGGACCUGCGGGCGUAUACCUGCGGAAGGAUCAUUACAAGUGACCCCGGUCUAACCACCGGGAUGUUCAUAACCCUUUGUUGUCCGACUCUGUUGCCUCCGGGGCGACCCUGCCUUCGGGCGGGGGCUCCGGGUGGACACUUCAAACUCUUGCGUAACUUUGCAGUCUGAGUAAACUUAAUUAAUAAAUUAAAACUUUUAACAACGGAUCU